GUUUCGUUUGUUAGGCGACGCAGAGGCCGCAAUCAUUCGUUUGAACUGGAGUUUGUUGAAACGGCUUCGAACCGUCGAGCUCUCGCCCGGCGGCCCUCUGCCGUGAAUGUGCACGGUGGGUUUGUGAAGGUUGGACGGGACCGGACUCCCGCUGCACGGCCUUUCGGUCGGAGCAGGGAGAACCGGGUCCCACCAGAGAUACGUUAAUGAUCCUUCCGCAGGUUCACCUACGGAAA
rnacentral:misc_RNA from 1 species